AGUGAACGCUGGCGGUAGGCCUAACACAUGCAAGUCGAACGGCAGCACAGUAAGAGCUUGCUCUUACGGGUGGCGAGUGGCGGACGGGUGAGGAAUACAUCGGAAUCUACUUUUUCGUGGGGGAUAACGUAGGGAAACUUACGCUAAUACCGCAUUCGCCCUACGGGUGAAAGCAUGGGAUCUUCGGACCUUGCGCGAUUGAAUGAGCCGAUGUCGGAUUAGCUAGUUGGCGGGGUAAAGGCCCACCAAGGCGACGAUCCGUAGCUGGUCUGAGAGGAUGAUCAGCCACACUGGAACUGAGACACGGUCCAGACUCCUACGGGAGGCAGCAGUGGGGAAUAUUGGACAAUGGGCGCAAGCCUGAUCCAGCCAUACCGCGUGGGUGAAGAAGGCCUUCGGGUUGUAAAGCCCUUUUGUUGGGAAAGAAAAGCAGCAGGUUAAUACCCCGCUGUUCUGACGGUACCCAAAGAAUAAGCACCGGCUAACUUCGUG
rnacentral:rRNA from 1 species